rnacentral:rRNA from 1 species
UACGGAGGAUGCGAGCGUUAUCCGGAUUUAUUGGGUUUAAAGGGUGCGUAGGCGGACGCUUAAGUCAGCGGUAAAAUUGCGGGGCUCAACCUCGUCGAGCCGUUGAAACUGGGUGCCUUGAGUGGGCGAGAAGUACGCGGAAUGCGUGGUGUAGCGGUGAAAUGCAUAGAUAUCACGCAGAACUCCGAUUGCGAAGGCAGCGUACCGGCGCCCAACUGACGCUGAAGCACGAAGGCGUGGGUAUCGAGCAGG